rnacentral:lncRNA from 12 species
GCCCAAGUUCAGUUGGGAAAAUAAACCUUUAUACAUCCCUAUGUACACACACCCUUAUGUGUGCAAACUGCAAUUAAAAUAAAUCUGUGAUGUAGAGACAUCCAAUGCAGUUUGUUACCACCGUGUGAAUUUGAAAAAAUAAAAGGGCAAAUUUUGAAUAUGGCUUCUGAAGUUUUUGAAUAUGGUUUUUAAAAUUUCAUUGCCAUUUAGAAGUGGGGAAAAAUGAAGUGGGAAUUAAGAAAUGACCUGAAAAUCAAGGAUCUUCCAAGAAGAAAUGCUCAGACAGUGGUGUGUGCAAUGUAGGAGGAACUAUGCUGCAUUAUCCUUUUCCCCGCUCUCCUAUAGCCACAAAUGCAACAGUGACUUUUCCCAGAUUUCCGUGCAGAGGUUGUGGUGAGCCCACACUGUGAUUCCUGCUCUGGAGGCUGGCACCCUGUGGAGGUGCUGCCAUCAGGCCAAAGAGUGAACUCCAGUGAAAUGGAAAUACCUUGGGGCAGGUGGGAAAAUUACCUGUGUGAUAAAUGUCAUUCGUGC